CCUACGGGAGGCAGCAGUGAGGAAUAUUGGUCAAUGGACGAGAGUCUGAACCAGCCAAGUAGCGUGAAGGAUGACUGCCCUAUGGGUUGUAAACUUCUUUUAUAAGGGAAUAAAGUGAGGGACGUGUCCCUUUUUGUAUGUACCUUAUGAAUAAGGAUCGGCUAACUCCGUGCCAGCAGCCGCGGUAAU
rnacentral:rRNA from 1 species